GUGACCUUUUGGAGUACGAUAUCGACCACAAUGAUAUUAUUAGUAUUGACGAAUUUGCAGAUGCACUUCAAAAUAAAGUAGAAAAUACUGGUGUUCGAGAAGUGUUUGUUGUGUUCGAUAAAAACGGGGAUGGAAAUCUCGAUUCGGAAGAAUUGACUGCAGCCAAGGAAUGUUGACCGUUACAUCUGACGUAGACUGGGACGUCGCAUAUUUCCUUCUAUUGAACUGUUCUUCUACUAAAAAUCUCAGUUGAUUAAAG